UACGGAGGAUCCGAGCGUUAUCCGGAUUUAUUGGGUUCAAAGGGAGCGUAGGCGGAGGAUCAAGUCAGCUGUGAAAUGUAGGCGCUCAACGCCUGCACUGCAGUUGAAGCUGGUUCCCUUGAGUGCGUAAGAGGCAGGCGGAAUUCGUCGUGUAGCGGUGAAAUGCUUAGACAUGACGAAGAACUCCGAUCGCGAAGGCAGCUAGCCGGGCCGCAACUGACGCUGAAGCUCGAAGGUGCGGGUAUCGAAC
rnacentral:rRNA from 1 species